rnacentral:rRNA from 1 species
GACAGGNUGAACCCGUCUCUGUGGCAAAAGAGUGGGAAGACCUUGCAAUAGUGGUGAAAAGCCAACCGAGCCUGGUGAUAGCUGGUUGCUCAACAAACGAAUUUAAGUUCGACUUUAGGUCUACCGCAUUAAACUAAAAACCCUUGACCUAAAAGCUACUCAAUGAAGGUACAACUCCAUUGAGAUAGGAUACAACCCAAACUAGAGAGGAAGGCACACCAUUUUAACCAGUAGGCCUUCAAGCCGCCACCAGAAAUCAGAGCGUCACAGCAAAAAGAAUCUAAAUUUCACAAAUAACACCAACCUCCUAGAAAAACACUGAGCCAAACUAUGAUAAUAGACGAACUAAUGCUAAGACUAGUAACAAGAAACAUUCUCUCGGCACCACCGUAACCCAGAAAUAGAAAAACUGCUGGAUUUUAACAGACCAAAACAGGCACACAUAACCAAAUGUACUACCAACUGUUAAACCAACACCGGAGUGCCCCCCAGACAGAUUAAAAGUUAUUUAAGGAACUCAGCAAAACUUGUCCCAACUGUUUACCAAAAACAUAGCCUUUAGCAAACACAAGUAUUAAAGGUCCCGCCUGCCCAGUG